AGCUCUCAAAACUGUCACCACCAACGGGUGCGGAGAAAAUCUGAGAGUUCAGUUCAUAAAUAGUCUCUACAGAGGGAACGUUACUCUUGGUUCCCUCCUCCUCGUUUUCUUUGUCAAUAUCUCAUAAUAAAAGGACGAAACCCCUAUUCUCCUCCUCCAUCAUCAAUUAUCUCUUUCAUUCUUCUCUCUCGUUUGACGCUCGACAGUGACGUCGCCGUGAAGAAGCGGAGCAGACUAGGUUCAGGUGAGUUGUGAACCCAGACUUGAACUAUCGGUAUCAUUUUCGAUUGGCGCUACUCUCCUAUUUCGUUCUUUACGGGAAGUUGAUCUUUUUAUGGAGAGUUCUGAUGAUGAGAGAGAUGGAGCUUAUGGAAGCUAUAUACCAAAGGAACUGGCUCAUAAUGUAGCAUCUAAUGGUACAAAAUUCGUAGAUGAAGUGCUUAAUGGUCAAAAUGAACGUUGUUUUGAAAAUUUUCGCAUGGACAAGCCAGUAUUUUACAAGUUGUGUGAUCUUCUACAAGGCAAAGGCUUGCUACGUCAUACAAAUCGAAUCAAAA